rnacentral:tRNA from 1 species
GCUCUCGUAGUGUAGUGGCUAUCACGUCUGCUUUACACGCAGAAGGUCCCAGGUUCGAUCCCCGGCUAGAGCA